rnacentral:rRNA from 1 species
ACGGGUGAGUAACACGUGAGUAACCUGCCCUGGACUCUGGGAUAAGCGUUGGAAACGACGUCUAAUACCGGAUAGGACCUCGGAUCGCAUGAUCUGGGGUGGAAAGUUUUUUCGGUCUGGGAUGGACUCGCGGCCUAUCAGCUUGUUGGUGAGGUAACGGCUCACCAAGGCGUCGACGGGUAGCCGGCCUGAGAGGGUGACCGGCCACACUGGGACUGAGACACGGCCCAGACUCCUACGGGAGGCAGCAGUGGGGAAUAUUGCACAAUGGGCGAAAGCCUGAUGCAGCAACGCCGCGUGCGGGAUGACGGCCUUCGGGUUGUAAACCGCUUUUAGUAGGGAAGAAGGGCUUCGGCUUGACGGUACCUGCAGAAAAAGGACCGGCUAACUACGUGCCAGCAGCCGCGGUAAUACGUAGGGUCCGAGCGUUGUCCGGAAUUAUUGGGCGUAAAGAGCUCGUAGGCGGUUUGUCGCGUCUGCUGUGAAAACUGGAGGCUCAACCUCCAGCCUGCAGUGGGUACGGGCAGACUAGAGUGCGGUAGGGGAGAAUGGAAUUCCUGGUGUAGCGGUGGAAUGCGCAGAUAUCAGGAGGAACACCGAUGGCGAAGGCAGUUCUCUGGGCCGUAACUGACGCUGAGGAGCGAAAGCGUGGGGAGCGAACAGGAUUAGAUACCCUGGUAGU